UACGUAGGUGGCGAGCGUUGUCCGGAUUUACUGGGCGUAAAGGGAGCGUAGGCGGACUUUUAAGUGAGAUGUGAAAUACUCGGGCUCAACUUGAGUGCUGUAUUUCAAACUGGAAGUCUAGAGUGCAGGAGAGGAGAAUGGAAUUCCUAGUGUAGCGGUGAAAUGCGUAGAGAUUAGGAAGAACACCAGUGGCGAAGGCGAUUCUCUGGACUGUAACUGACGCUGAGGCUCGAAAGCGUGGGGAGCAAACAGG
rnacentral:rRNA from 1 species